rnacentral:lncRNA from 1 species
AUCCCAAAACCCCCCAAAAAAGGAAGUUGGUUAGAGCCUGGAACACUGCAAAUAACAAAUUCUAUUUACUAAAAUAAUCACUCAAAUUAAUUUUUUUACCUCUUGUUUAUAGCAUUUUUCUAGAUUUACUAGUUAGAAAAUGUUUAGCUAGAAAUUUUAAAAACUAUACAUAUAUCUACACAAACACAUUUAUAAUCAGAAUAUUGACCUCUUACUCGAUGAACUUAUUCUCUCCCUCUAAUGGCUUUAGUAUCACUCGAAUGCUAAUAACCUUAGCUAGAAGCAAAUCUCAGGUUUGUGUUUUCAACUGUCUAUGGAAACUCUCUACUUGGAAACCCCACUCCACCUCAUAUCUGACACAUUCAAAAACAAACUCACAAUGUCCCAUACUAACUGGCUAUUUUCUCCAACGUGUGAUGUCUAAUAAUCUAAUAAUAACAUUAUAGCAUUGGUGUGGUCCCUGCUUUACAACGUGCUCUACUGUAUGUCACUGUGUACACAGUAUUUCAGUGAUUCUUCUACUGUGUGAGAUAAAAUAUCAUCAUCAUAUUCAUUUAGAGAUGAGAAAAUCGAGAAGAGAGGUUAUGCGGCACGUGCAAGGUCUCCAAGUUCGUCAGCAGCAUAACUGGUUUGGGCCUGCCUUCCGACUGCAAAGCCUGUGUUCUUUCCACAAUGCUAGACCCUCAUUUGAAACCAUCUUUCAGCCUCCAAACCUUGCUUUGGGAGCUUCUUUUUUUUCACCCUCUUCAGUGAUUUAUUCACCAUCUGUGAUUUAUUCACCAUCUCUCUUAUAGGUAAUUCAGCAAAUCCAUUUUAUUAUAGUAAUAGGGGAUAUAGCAUCUACCAUACUAGUAUUAAGCAUUAGGUAUAUCCAUAAUAAUUCUGAGAUAGUUAAUAUUUAAUAGUUAAAUAUCACACACAGGAGGAACCUAACAGCAUAAAAUGGCUCAGUAGCUUUCUGAAAGUCAAGCGCACGGCAAGUGGCAAAGCUGGAUUCAAAUGCAGAGAUUUCUGAAUUUAGGCUCUUGUCACUGCAAUACUGCCAACCCUUAGGACCUUUAGAAACCAUCUGGUUUUUAUGCCUUAUUUUGCACCCUAGUCUAACUAUUGCAAUUUCCUUCUUCAUUUUCCUCUUUCUAGUCUUUCUUCCUAACCAGUUCUAACGCAAGUCAAUUAGUUUUUCAGAAGUCUCUCUCUUCUCAUGUUUUUUCCUGCUUUGAAACUCAAGUGUUCUCUUUUACUUAAUAGAUCAAGAUCCAACACUAAUUUGACAUUUAAUCAAGACUCUCUACAAGUUGACUAUCUCUUACUGGCUGUGUGACUUCUACGGAAGGCAAACUGAGUCUGGGGCUUAAUAUCUCCGUGAGGAGAUGGCAGGUGGAAAACCGAACACAGUCAACUCAAGAGAAAGUCAAAGGCCACACACAAAAAAGAGAAAAGCACCUCUGCUCGAGAUUACCCCCCACCUCAGAUUGUAGGCUUCAGUUUCAACUGGCUCAGCUCCUGUUUGCCUUUCUAUGAUAUGAAACUAUUUCCAUGAGGCAAUGAGGAAACAGGCGGAAAUCCACGUGACAGAAAGCCGGUGUUAUAACACACGGAACAUAAAAAACACUUACUUCAUUCCCUGACCAUCUCUUAUCACCACUGUCCACACUAUUGAAGCCUGAAUCAAG